UUAAAUUUUAAAUUUUAAAUUUCUAAUCUCUAAUUUCAAAUUUUAUAUUUUAAUUUUCAAUUUUUAAAUUUCAAAUUUUAAAUUUUAACUUAUUUUGAAAUUUAAGUUUAAUAUUAAAACCUCUAAUUUUAAAAUUUUAAUUUCAAAUUUAAAUUUAAAAUUUAGUUUCAAAUUUCAAAUUUUGAAUUUUAAAUUUUGAAUUUUAAAUUUAAAACAU
rnacentral:lncRNA from 1 species